CCUUGGCCCGUCGUCAGUCGCGAUUGGAGCGGCGUACCGUUAUCUGAAAGCGGCUGAAGGUAAGCCAAUGAGCCACGGAAACACCCACAAAACAGGACGAGCAGGAGCGCGAGAAUUGUGGCCAGCAGCAGAUUGUGCUAAUUUCUGGGUGGAGCAGAGUUUUUGGCGCGCAGCUUAUAAUCCGAAUGUCGUCUAAGUGAAUGUGAAAUGUGACAGGCCACAGUGACAGUUGACAAAAGCCAAGCGACAACAACAAGGAAAACCAAACGAUGAAAACGAGGAAAACACAAAGACAGUUGGGAAAAGAGCAGAUGGAAACAAGUUGCUGUUGAUGCUGUUCUUGGUCUUGGUACCAACUACGAUUCGAGUCGAGUCCCGUGCUGUGCUGUGCUGUGUGGGUGCCCCCAGGAGAGAUUUAACAUAAUAAAAACGAACGUGUGCGGCAUUUUUGUGCUGCUUUAACAGUAUCUCGCCAACAGUGUAUCUCCAUCUGUGUGCUAAUAACACACAGACACACACACACACACCGAGAGACAAACAAACAAUAUGUGUGCAAAUGUGUGCGUGAAGCAGUUGGGAAAAGUGUCGUAAAUCGUUUAGACAGCGAAACGUGGGACCAUCCAAAAAACAGAAAAGGAAAAGAAAGGAAAAUGGCAGAGGAAACGAUAUGUAAACGACACAGUCGCCGUGGGAAAAACUCAUCCAAAAACAAGAACCAGAAAAGAAAAACAAGGAGAAACUCCAUUGCAGUUGUUGCUCAUAUGUGACACUCUGGACGAAAUAGUUGUUGCAGAAAACGAAAUUGCGCAGACUGUUUGAAGGAUGGUAUUUCUUGUGAAAUUUUGAAGGAUGCUGUGUGACAUUUUUUCAUGAAUAGUUUUCCACCCCUCCACAAAACGAUGAAACGAUGACACAUCCAAUGAUGUGUGGCCUAUCAAAAAAUUGUGAUGAUAAAUAUAAAAUACUGCCGUCAAUAAACCAUUUUUUGUAGAAA